UACGUAGGGUGCAAGCGUUAAUCGGAAUUACUGGGCGUAAAGCGUGCGCAGGCGGUUAUAUAAGUCAGAUGUGAAAUCCCCGGGCUUAACCUGGGAACUGCGUUUGAAACUACAAGGCUAGAGUGUAGCAGAGGGGGGUGGAAUUCCACGUGUAGCAGUGAAAUGCGUAGAGAUGUGGAGGAACACCGAUGGCGAAGGCAGCCCCCUGGGUUAACACUGACGCUCAGGCACGAAAGCGUGGGGAGCAAACAGG
rnacentral:rRNA from 1 species